rnacentral:rRNA from 1 species
CCUACGGGUGGCAGCAGUGAGGAAUAUUGGUCAAUGGACGAGAGUCUGAACCAGCCAAGUAGCGUGAAGGAUGACUGCCCUAUGGGUUGUAAACUUCUUUUAUAUGGGACUAAAAUGUUCCACGUGUGGGAUUUUGUAUGUACCAUAUGAAUAAGGAUAGGCUAACUCCGUGCCAGCAGCCGCGGUAAUACGGAGGAUCCGAGCGUUAUCCGGAUUUAUUUGGUUUAAAGGGAGCGUAGGUGGAUUGUUAAGUCAGUUGUGAAAGUUUGCGGCUCAACCGUAGAAGUGCAGUUGAAACUGGCAGGCUCGAGUACAGUAGAGGUGGGCGGAAUUCGUGGUGUAGCGGUGAAAUGCGUAGAUAUCACGAAGAACUCCGAUUGCGAAGGCAGUUCACUGGACUGCAACUGACACUGAGGCUCGAAAGUGUGGGUAUCAAACAGGAUUAGAUACCCGAGUAGUC